rnacentral:rRNA from 1 species
AAGUCGUAACAAGGUUUCCGUAGGUGAACCUGCGGAAGGAUCAUUACCGAAUUGUCAACACGAGUUGUUGCUGGUCCUCAAAUGGGGGCAUGUGCACGCUCUGUUUGCACAUCCACUCACACCUGUGCACCCUCCGUAGUUCUGCAGCCUGGGGGCUCUGUCCCCCUGCUGUGGUUCUAUGUAUUUACACACACACACUGUAAUAAAGUCUCAUGGAAUGUAUGCCGCGUUUAACGCAAUACAAUACAACUUUCAGCAACGGAUCUCUUGGCUCUCGCAUCGAUGAAGAACGCAGCGAAAUGCGAUAAGUAAUGUGAAUUGCAGAAUUCAGUGAAUCAUCGAAUCUUUGAACGCACCUUGCACCCUUUGGCUAUUCCGAAGGGUAUGCCUGUUUGAGUAUCAUGAACACCUCAACUCUCAUGGUUUGCCAUGAUGAGCUUGGACUUUGGGGGUCUUGCUGGCCUGUGGUCAGCUCCUCUCAAAUGGAUUAGCUUGCCAGUGUUUGGUGGCAUCACAGGUGUGAUAACUAUCUACGCUUGUGGUUUUCCACCAGGUAACCUUCAGCAAUGGGGGUUCGCUGGGGCUCAUAAAUGUCUCUCCUCAGUGAGGACAGCUCUU